GCACGAAUUGCUGAAGAAUGGGCUCCCAGAUCGCGUAACAUGUCAUUUGAAUUCAAGCAGAAGGUUUCUGUGUACGACAAGUUUGGAAAACCUGUCAUCACAGCCACUGAUGAAUCAAAUCCUUGGUGGUCACUACUAGUCGAAGCCAUCAGUAAAGCUGGAGGAAAACUUGGAAAGCCAGAAAUCGCCCCUGCCUCAACCGAUGCUCGUUACUACAGGGAUCGAGGCUUACCAGCAAUUGGCUUUUCUCCAAUAGCAAACACUCCCAUUCUCCUUCAUGAUCACAAUGAG
rnacentral:lncRNA from 1 species